CCUCGUCCUUCUCUUUUCUAAGCCUUCGUUGUCCUCUGACCUCAUCUAAAGGUCCGAGGGUGGUGGUUUUUCAACCCUCAAAAAGAUCUAUCCUUUAUUACUGGUCUUCCAUCGUCCAUUCAUGGAUGGAAGAACUAGUUCUUCUUUGCUUCUUCUUCCUUUCCUUGGGAUUUUUCUUCUCAUUGGGGCGAUCCAAAAAUCG
rnacentral:lncRNA from 1 species